AGAAGAAGAAGAAGCAGGACUGGCGCUAAGAUGACGGACCAAGAAAGUACGGUACAAAGCCAGUUAGCGGAUAUUCUGAACAGAAGGUUAAGUUCUCCAGGGACGGUCAGGCCAGUUAGACGGGAAAAUGCAAGACAGUCUGUUGAGGGACAGACAACCCAAAUGGGGACAACUUCACAGUCAGGACAACUAAUAAGAUGUCCUCAGGGUAGUGGCUCUGGACAGUCAGUGCAUCAAGAAAUGGCGAGGUCUUUUCCUGGACUUUUUCGCAGAGAGGCAAGACGUUUCGCACCCUAUGCACGACUACAAAAAGGUUUUCUGGUUAACUUUUUCUUACUUGAUAGACAGCGUUCAAAAACACCCAAAGGAGAUGAAGAGCUGCAGCUCAUACUGGCUGGUCUUGGGAAAAGGUCUCUCACAGUAAACGAAAGCUUCAGACAUUCCGAGAAAUGAUUGCUGAGAUCGAAAAGAAACUAUUUGUGGGCAGUGCUGACAAGAAAGG